GACGAACGCUGGCGGCGUGCUUAACACAUGCAAGUCGAACGGAAAGGCCCUGCUUUUGUGGGGUGCUCGAGUGGCGAACGGGUGAGUAACACGUGAGUAACCUGCCCCUGACUUUGGGAUAACUUCAGGAAACUGGGGCUAAUACCGGAUAGGAGCUCCUGCUGCAUGGUGGGGGUUGGAAAGUUUCGGCGGUUGGGGAUGGACUCGCGGCCUAUCAGCUUGUUGGUGGGGUAGUGGCUUACCAAGGCUUUGACGGGUAGCCGGCCUGAGAGGGUGACCGGCCACAUUGGGACUGAGAUACGGCCCAGACUCCUACGGGAGGCAGCAGUGGGGAAUAUUGCACAAUGGGCGGAAGCCUGAUGCAGCAACGCCGCGUGCGGGAUGACGGCCUUCGGGUUGUAAACCGCUUUCGCCUGUGACGAAGCGUGAGUGACGGUAAUGGGUAAAGAAGCACCGGCUAACUACGUG
rnacentral:rRNA from 1 species